CAGCAAAGGUUUUGGAAAGUUACUCUGUAAUGGCCGCCACAUGGUGACUGCUUUUUGUUCUAAGGUGCAUCUAGUGCAGAUAGUGAAGUAGAUUAGCAUCUACUGCCCUAAGUGCUCCUUCUGGCAUAAGAAGUUGUAUUUUCACCUAGUCAUUCACACUGAAUAAAAAAUCUAGUAAUGUUUUGCAGUCCUCUGUUAGUUUUGCAUAGUUGCACUACAAGAAGAAUGUAGUUGUGCAAAUCUAUGCAAAACUGAUUGUGGCCUGUUAUUGUCUACAUAUCAACAUUGUAAUGAUUUCACUUUUAAGUUAACAUAGGUCUCCAGAAGAGCAGUCAAAACAGCUUCUGUAGCGCUAAAGUGCUUAUAGUGCAGGUAGUGAUUCAUAAUCUACUGCAUUAGGAGCACUUGAAGUUCUACUAGCUGUAGAACCUCAGUUUCACCCAGAUUUUUCCUGUGUUCUGCUUUUCUAUGUGUCUGUUGAACACUGUACUCUGGUUAGUUUUGCAGGUUUGCAUCCAGCUGUAUGAUACUCUGCUGUGCAAAUCCAUGCAAAACUGACUGUGGCAGUGAAAAAUCAAUGAAUAAGCGAUAGGUUGUACCCCUUUCUACACAGGUUGGGAUAAGUUGCAAUGCUGUGUGUGUCAGUGGUAUUGCACUUGUCCCGGCCUGUUGAGGUUGGUGGGGCUAGAGCCUGGAACAACUUUCCUUCUCAGCUGAUGGUCCUGGAGCAACACAGAACAGUUAGCAAUGGAAUAGUUUCCCAUUGCUUGCUGUGUUUGAGUGGAGUAACAUGGUUGUACUGUUCCAUGUUUGUGGUAUACCAAUUACUGUUUUCAAAAUUCUCCUUGUAAAAUCAGUGAAGUUUUGCCACACAAAGCAACUUGCAUAACCUGUAAAUGAUAGCGUUAAAUAAAUCACCAACUUUGUACUUGAAAAUCAAAACAGGUGUUUUUUUAUUUGUUACUGAAAUUUAAUUGAUGUAUUAUCUACCAUAGAUAUUGUGCCACAGCAGCUGAAACAAUCGGACGUUUUCCAGUCCAGUUUUUCAAAGCACCUACCAAAACACAUUACAUGGGAGCAGUGGCACAUGCUUGGCAGCCUUCCUAUGUCAAGAGUGAGGAGAGAAUGUCAGGAUGGGGUAAACCGGAGAGGACAAAACCUGAAGAAAGUGGUGAAAUCUGAAUCCUCCCUAGCCAUUGGGUAGCAGUUCUAAGUCUAGAAUAAGACAUUUGAACUCACUCUAGCUACAAAAGCAGCGGCUGCUAAAGAAGUCAGAGACCAUUUGCCUCUACCGAUGUAAGCAACAAACAAGCAUGGGUCAAGAGGAUUUCUUUGGAAAGGCCCAGAUGUGUCAGAGGCAAAAGAGAACCAGGGCAAUAUAGGACAUCCUCUCUGGUCACAGACCAAUCCUCUCCAUCUGCAUUUGGGCCUGACCUGAAAGAUCAAGGAAAAGUGUGGGCACAUAGUGGACAGAAGAAGAGAGAGAGAAAUCUGGAACAAGCAGUCAAGACCGUUUGAAAAACGGGUGCCUGUUGGGAAUAGCAAUGAAAACACUGAAAGACAGGAAAUGCCCUGCAAAGCUGAGGAAAAGUUCAGAAACUUUUUCAACAGCAAUACACCGGCCGUGCAGAGAGACUGCAAUGGAUACUUUGGUGAGCAGACAGGAGAAAGCUUUUUUAUGGAACUCCCCUGCAGAGUCACUGCUUUCAGCCCAAGAAAGCAAAGUCAUUUCUGAGUCUUUUCAGAGAAGCCUUGCUUGAGGCACUGAAAAAUGCAGCACCAGCCUUCCUUUGAUCUAGCUUCCUUAAGGACAAAAAGCAAAAGCAUCCCUCUGCUCCAUCUGCAUCUCACUAUCUGUCUUUGCCCUGCCUGGGCUCCUUCCCUGUUAUCGGAAUCGGGGGGGGGGGGUGGAGAAAGCAAAAGAAACUCAUAAGGAAAGCAAACUUCACUUUGCAUUGGAGCUGUAAGGUACCUACAGCGGUGCGUGCACUUUUUUUGUUGGUAUUUGCAGCGCAAUCCUCCACAAGUCUGCUUAGCAGUAAAGCCUGACUGGUUCAGCAGGAUUCACUCCCAGAGAAAAGUGUUUAUGAGGGUUGCAGCGUAAAGCGCCAGGAAUUCUGCCGGCUGUCGGAGAGAUGGAGAAGGGUCAUGCAGUCCAUUGAGAAAAAUACCCAUGUCAGAUGCCCUCCAUGGACUGAACCAUCCUGGCCAAGAAUCUGCUCUGUCUUUUCCCAGGUCACUAAAACUGAGUGCACAUCCACUGCACCAGCCAACUGUUUUGCCUCUGAAAUGGGGCGGAAAGAGGAAGCUGUGGAGGGUGGGGAUGGGAUCUCCUUUCCUGUGGUGAUGUUCAGGGCUCGCCCGUUUCAUUUGAAUGCAAUGGGUGCUUAUUGCUCACUUCCAAAUCCGCUGUGGAGGUGAUGCCACACACAAAAAAGUGCCACCUGAAAUGGCCCACCCCCUCCACCCCUCCCUAGCUAUUCUACUGGCCAGACGCCAUCUCUUAACCCAACCUCCCUCACAGUGCUGUUGCGAUGAUGAAAUGGGGAGGAGGAGAACUAUGUCGACCACCUUGAGAUCCUUGAAAGAUAAAGAUGGGGGAGUGGACAUCACCAGUGCCACCUGGAGUUGCUGCCCAAGCUUGAACACCUGCAUGCAUAGCAGAUUGUCGAAUCCUGUGCUAUGAACACCCCUAGACCUGGGAAGUCUUCUACUAUAUUUAAAAGGGCAUGGGGAUCGUUUCCCUUUAGAAAAGUGGCUGAAUGAAGAAUGAGCUGAAAUGAAGACGUGAACCUCAAGAGAGAAGAUUCAGCAAACCUGCAGAUGGAACAGCAAUGUGCCUCCAAGUUCUGAAGAAGCAUCACAACUCAGGAGGGGCAAGGUUGGCCCAGGGUCAAAGUGGGUGGGUGGCCAUGGUAGCAAAGAUUUGCCUUCCUUUGUGACAUCUCUUGCUUCUUUCUUAAAAGCCACCGAGUGUAGGGGUCCACUGUGGGUUAGGGAGGAGAGGUCAGAGGAGAGAGGAGUGGUUAGAGUUGGGGAAUGGAGGUAAGAGAAGAUUCAGCAAACCUGCAGAUAGAACAGAAGGUGCCUCAAAGUUCUGAAGAAGCAUCACAGCUCAGGAGGAGCAAGAUAGGCCCAGGGUCAAGGUGGGUGGGUUACUAUGGUAGCAAAGACUUGCCCUCCUUUGUGAUAUCUCUUGCUUCUCUCUUAAAAGCUACCAAGUGCAGGUGUCCAUUGUGGGUUAGUGAGCAGAGGGAUGGUUGGAGUUCAUGAAAGGAGGUUCAGGAGAUGCUUUUGAUUAUUAUUUGCUUUUUUGCUUUUUGAUUACUUUGAUUUUAUUUGAUUUUUUUAUUUUAAUUUUUAAAUAUUCUUUAUUUUGUUUUAAUAUCUGUUGCUCUUUACUUUAAUAUUGUAAUUUUUUAUUCUUUAAUAUUUUUAUUUUUACAUUUUUAUUUUUGUGCAUAAUUGUGCAUAUUUUAUAUACUUUGUAUAUAUUCAUUCUGUAUAUAUUUUACAUAUAGAGGGAUAGUUAGGGUUAGGUGUAGGCUUAGGGCUGGGGUUGAAGUUAGGCUUGGGUGGGCAUUUUAGCUAGUUAGGUAGUAUUGAUAGGAGGGAGGACUUCUCUGGACAGCAUGUUCAGAGUGUCAGUAGGAUUUCUUCCCCUUCUCUUUGUCUCCUGGGGUGAGGGUCUCCUGCACAGCCUUGGCUCCCUUGAAAUCAUCUUGGCCACUCAUUUCACUCCUGAAGAGCUCAGUUUCUCCACACUCCCUGCAUUCCCAUUUUCUGUCCUAGAGAACAUUUAUCCUCUGUUCUCCUGGGGAAACUGGGCCAAUUUGGAGAGUACCCCAUGAUCCUUGUCUUGGCCCUGGAAGCCCUUCUGCAGUUGAGGUGAAUUGUGUCUUUUUAACGGAUGGGGUUAUGGCGUUGGGGGAAGAACUCCGGGAUAAGCUCAGUGUGGGGAAUUGCAGGCAAGAGGGAUAAUGGGACAAGGAAGACUCAGAGGAGGCAGAGUCUAACACUGUCCUCUCCAGCUUCGUUAAGCCAGAAUUUGGCUCAGACUUCUGGCAUGAUCGUCCAUACAACUUUUCAGGCAGUCCUGGAAGAAGAAAACAAGCACAAGGACAUAUGUUGUUAGCCUUCACUUCUCUUUACAUGGCUCUUUCUUUAUUCUUCUAUUGUUUAGGGGAGCUUUUAAUGUUUGAUGCAUUACUUUAUUUUAAUAUUGUGUUGGAAGCCGCCCAGAGUGGCUGGGGAGACCCAGCCAGAUGGGCGGGGUAUAAAUAAUAAAUUAUUAUUAUUAUUAUUCACACACUUCCAAUAAUUUUACUUUUGACUCAAAAUAUCUUCCUUCGUUGCACUCUGUGGAUCUGCUGGUUUUAAAAUGGGUGUCACUAACAUGAACUGAAGGGACAUUUCCACUGCUGCUCUGGGGCCUUCAGAAUGAGGCCCCCAAUGCUGCAAACCACCUCCUGCUGAGCGUAAGUGUCCUGAUGGCAUCAGGGAUUGUUAAGGACUUCAAGAAACUCCAUGGUGGGGGGGGGGGCACAUUGGUGACAAUCUUAAAUGGUGGAUGAGAUCAGAUUAUCAUUUUCUCUGAUACUGUAUUGUUUGCUUGGAUGGGGAAAAAAAGGGGUGGUGGUAAGGGAAAGUUGUGAAAAGUGUAAUAUAGUAAUGGUGCCAAAGAAAGUGGUAUGUGUGUGUAAAAUAGAGGUAUGAGAUCUUGAUUUUUUAACUGAUUCAGAGAGAGAGAAUGGAUUAUAUUGGGGGCAAUAUACCUCUUGUCGAUUAUUGGUCCUAACUCCUAGGUUUUGGAGGUGGCUCCCAGAUCUUGACCAAAGCAUGGGAUUUAUAGUCUCUCCCUCCUUUCUCUCUUUACUGCCAGCAAUGAGAUGCCACUAUGGCUAAUAGUUUAAUAUGAACAUUAUUAUUAGGCUUCAGGCCAAACUUCAAGUUCUUGCUGUCAUUUUAAGAUCAAAGUUGAGGCUGUCUCAUGUUGGCUCCACAAUCCCAGGAAAGUGGAAUCUGAAGGAUGAUGUUUUAACAGAUGUGCUCUGUGAAGUUGUGGUGAUUGUUACAUAUUGUGCUUGAUUAAAAGAAACCUUCCAGGCACCUGCACUUUUCCUUGAACAUUCAGGCCCGAAUCCCAAUGAAGUAGUUAAUCAGUGUUGAUGACUUGAGGAUGAACAUAUAAGCAAAUUGUUUCGGCUACCUUGAGACAACCCAAGUUAAGGACUUUUGGGUUCCAUUGAUUUUAGUGGGUGUGUCAAGCAUGCACUCAAAUCCCUUUCAGUGAGAUUAAUGGGACUUAAAAAAAUUCCUAUGUUUGGGUGUGCUUGGGUUGAAGAAUUUACACAGAAUAAAGUUGGAUAGAAUGACUAAAUGACAUAAGGGCCAAAAUGAAUAUUGUGCAUAUCUAUAUAGCUAUGAUACUGUAUAUAUGAAAAUAAGUAUUACUGGAAAAUUACUGGAGUCACUUUAGCAGAGAUAAAACAUGUAUGCAUUGUUUUGCUGCCAUUUUUCAGCCAGCUGGCUUCUUUUGAUAUAUUUUUCUCCUAUCGUAAGUCUUGAUUUAAACGUAUUCUCUCCGGUAGAAUUGGCAGCUUUCCAACAUGCACUCAACUUUUAACAUUGUGUAGCAGUGAGAAUUUUGGUAUGUGCAGUUUCUCAAACCACUGAACCUCUGGCAUGACAAUCUGCACUUGGUGAAUUUCCAUCUCCUACAUAGAUACUAAAAGCAACAGGACUCCUAAGGU